ensembl:lncRNA
CUGAGCUUCCGCUGGUUCGUGCAGGACUACACGGGCGGCGGGCUGGGCGCCGUGGAGGGGCUCAGCAGCCGGGGCCCCCCCAUGAUGGGGGCCGGCUACGGCCACGGCGCGGGGCCCUCGGCCACGCCGGGGGCGCAGCGCCUCUGCCGCCUCUCCGUGUGGAUCUGGCAGUCGGUCAUCCACCUGCUGCAGAUGGGGCAGGUGUGGAGCUCUAAACGAAAGACAUGAGGCCUAAGACUGAAAUGAGGUUGUUUUGAGGUCAUCUGAUUUCUGGCUAGACGGUGUGCGAUCGCCUCGUCCUGAAACCACUGCAGACAGAAUGGUUUGCAAUUUUUUUUGGUGAUGGCAUGUUCAGAAUCUUGGAUCCCUAAGUUGAAUAUGUUGGAAAUAUUUAGGAACUCUGGAAAUUGUUGUUUUUGUAUAUAUAAUGACUUACUAGAAAAACCGGACAAAAGAAUCUGGAAGAAGGAAAAACUGAGGAAGGAACCCAGGACGUGUUUGGGCGGCAGGGUGAUCACCUUCAUCUUUACCCCUGGAAGGGCAUUUCCAGAGAAGUACAGGCUACGUAACGCCAGUGUUGUAUUCCAUCUACUUACGUGCUUGCCGCUGUGCUGAGUGACGUAUGUAAAAUGUGUCUAGGAGUGAAUUUCCAAGAAAGACGCUGAGAUUUCUCCCUUUUACAGCUUUGAGACGAUCAGUAUCCUUCCUGAACAGGUGCUUGUGGGCAAGUUCAGAGGGAGGCCGUGAUCUCUAGCCGUGGUUUACAAUACUCCAAAGCACCUCCCUUUGUCUCCAGGGAUGCUGCAAAAUUCUCACUGAAUUGCUCAUUAGGGAAAGCUUGUCAUAUUCUACAUUAAGUGUUUUCCUUGGAGACUUUAUCUUAGGAGACCCAACUUUGAGUUAUUAAACCCAGGGCUAUGAUUAGUGAGGCAGACACCUGCUUUCUGUAUUCACUGGGACUUGAAAGCAAGAAUGAAAUUACCAAAUAAAAUGGCUUUGAGAGAGAUUUUGGACUCCAUUUCCUCUAUGUCGUGCAUCCCUUCCCAAGGGUAGAAAACAAUCAGCAAGGGUUUUAAGGUUUUCAAUACUGGAAGGCACUACUUUCCCAUUAAAAUUUUGGAUUAAAUAUUUUGAGCAUCUGUAAUUUUGUAGCAGAGAAAGCAUAACUGAUGGAAAUCGUUUCACCUAAAAUAUGACCCAAGAUUUUGUGGUAGGUUUGCAAUUUUGAAUUGGGAAGAGAAAGCACAAAUUUCUUACUAUGGGCCUUUGAUAACACAGUUAUAUGCAGGAAAUUUAGUUUUUUUCCUCUCCCUCACAUCUCAGUCUUACUCCAAACCAAGUAAUGUUUUUAGUCAGAUAAUACCUCAGGAACUUUCCCUUGGGAAUUAGGAUUUUCUUUAGCUCCUGAGUUGCUCUCAGAGGCUUGAGGCUUCUCUGGGCCCCAUUUUGACCUUAGAAAAACUAUUGGGUUGGCCAAAAGUUCAUUCGGUUUUUCCCAUACCCUGUUAUAGGAAACCCGAAUGAACUUUUGGCCAACCCAGUAUACCACAGAGUGAGUUGUGCAAUUUUCAAAGCCCCCUUUGCAGGAUCUGUUAUGAAAUACAAAACUAUUCACAUCGUUUUAGGCUAGUUUUCUCACUUUGAAAAGGGAGGGAUUAUCCUUUCUAGUGAGUGGUUGGUUUGUGGAUCUCAGUGGAGGCCUUCCCCAGUACUUCUUGGGCCUGAUUCAGUAGGACUACCCCCCGCCCGUCCCCGCGUGUUGGGGCUGAGGACCAACGCUGGACUUCAGGAAGUUUAAGGCAGGUGAUGGAGUGUGGCUUUCACAUCUACCCGCAUAAGCAGUUUCUGUUUGCUUGUUUUAUAACAUCUUUUCAGAAAGUCAUUGUAGCAAAUUGUAGUUUCUCCUUGCCUCAGGAUUUUUUAAUGUUUAAAUUGAGAUUUAAAAGUAGAGUUAAUUCAGUCAUUUCCUCUUAAAAAAAAAAGCCAUCAGCUGCAGAUCUAAAAUUUCUUCCAAGUCCUAAAUUCUGAUUUCAAAAAAAAAGAUAAAUUUGGUCUGAGUAGCAUAUGAAAACCUUGUAACAGCCCUUUCUCUUUCCAUUCUUUUUUAUUUUUUUAGGCUGGCACUUCUAAAGGAAGAUAUGUUUAUAAAUAUAUAACACUACAAUAACAAAACCAAUUAUGUCAACAAUACCUCUGCUGUAGCAGAAUGCAGUUGGGUCUAUCUGGUUAAGCACUAUAUUAUUUUCUUAAAACACACACACACACACAACUUUUGUAUUGGGAUACAACCAAUUAACAAUGUUGAGAUAGUUUUAAGUGAACAGCAAAAGGACUCAUCCAUACAUACACAUGUAUCCAUUGUCCCCUCAACUCGCCCUCCCAUCCAGGCUUCCACAUUACUAACCAUCUUUUCAUUCUUGGUUUCCUGCCCCUACAGAUCUUAAGUUGCUGGCCACUUUAAGGAUUUAAGAUUUAGAUCAAGACUUAAGAGGUGAUAGAAGGGAAUUGGCACAGGGCUGAGUAAAAGUUCUUAAAGUGCAACAAAUACUGGACUCGGGUAUAGUUACUGUUGGUUUUUAUGGCUGAACAUACUGGAGCUGAGGCAUUCUUGCCUCUUGUGGUUCUGUUUUCAUCCUCAUCUUCCUCUUGUUGAUGGAGACUUCAGUUCUCACAAAUGAAAUAGCUAAGCCCUGGAUACCCUGGUGCCCAACCAGCGAACAAGUGGGCAGAGUUUCUUCGUCUUUUGACUGCUGAGUGAAUGAAAAGACGACGUUUUCCAACAAUUGCCACCCUUGCUUUCUGUUUCUCCCCACCUGAAAAGGUGGGAAUCUCCAGCAAAAUCAUUUCUUCCUAAAACUAUUCCGUAGAGGAUCUUGAGAUGCACCGUACAGCUGGACAUGCUGCUGCUGCUGCUGCGUCGCUUCAGUCGUGUCCGACUCUGUGACCCC